AGCGAACGCUGGCGGCAGGCUUAACACAUGCAAGUCGAGCGCCCCGCCAGGGGAGCGGCAGCCGGGAGAGUACCACGUGGGAACAUACCUUUUGGUUCGGAACAACUGAGGGAAACUUCAGCUAAUACCGGAUAAGCCCUUACGGGGAAAGAUUUAUCGCCGAAAGAUUGGCCCGCGUCUGAUUAGCUAGUUGGUGAGGUAACGGCUCACCAAGGCGACGAUCAGUAGCUGGUCUGAGAGGAUGAUCAGCCUCACUGGGACUGAGACACGGCCCAGACUCCUACGGGAGGCAGCAGUGGGGAAUAUUGGACAAUGGGGGCAACCCUGAUCCAGCCAUGCCGCGUGAGUGAUGAAGGCCUUAGGGUUGUAAAGCUCUUUUGCCCGGGAAGAUAAUGACGGUACCGGGAGAAUAAGCCCCGGCUAACUUCGUG
rnacentral:rRNA from 1 species